CCUACGGGUGGCAGCAGUGAGGAGUAUUGGUCAAUGGACGAGAGUCUGAACCAGCCAAGUAGCGUGAAGGAUGACUGCCCUAUGGGUUGUAAACUUCUUUUAUGUGGGAAUAAAAUGUUCCACGUGUGGGGUUUUGUAUGUACCGUAUGAAUAAGGAUCGGCUAACUCCGUGCCAGCAGCCGCGGUAAUACGGAGGAUCCGAGCGUUAUCCGGAUUUAUUGGGUUUAAAGGGAGCGUAGGUGGAUUGUUAAGUAAGUCGUGAAAGUUUGCGGCUCAACCGUAAAAUUGCAGUUGAAACUGGCUGUCUUGAGUACAGUAGAGGUGGGCGGAAUUCGUGGUGUAGCGGUGAAAUGCUUAGAUAUCACGAAGAACUCCGAUUGCGAAGGCAGCUCACUGCACUGCAACUGACACUGAGGCUCGAAAGUGCGGGUAUCAAACAGGAUUAGAUACCCUUGUAGUC
rnacentral:rRNA from 1 species